UAAUUUAAAGCACUAUUUAAGUGAAAAGAAACUUAUUGCAACAAAUUCCCAUCAAAAUAUAUCACAUUUAAAAUUUUUGCUACAUUGCUCAAAAAUGAGGAAAAUUUUACAUUUUCUCAAACAGGGUAUGGAACUUGGUUCCUCGAAUAACUUGUGGCACAGACAUCUGAGAGCAUGGCCGUCCAAGAAGAAAAUGUAGCCAUUGGUGCCAUCUAUCGACCACAGGUUAAAGUUUGGCGAUCCGUUGGAUACCGACCGAGUUAUAGGCAAAACUUGGUGCAAAAAUGAAGAAAAUUUUACAUUUUCUCAAACAGGGUAUGGAACUUGGUUCCUCGAAUAACUUCUGGCACAGACAUCUGAGAGCAUGGCUGUCCAAGAAGAAAAUGUAGCCAUUGGUGCCUUCUAUCGACCACAGGUUAAAGUUUGGCGAUCCGUUGGAUACCGACCGAGUUAUAGGCGAAACUUGGUGCAAAAAUGAAGAAAAUUUUAUAUUUUCUCAAACAGGGUAUGGAACUUGGUUCCUCGAAUAAUUUCUGGCACAGACAUCUGAGAGCAUGGCUGUCCAAGAAGAAAAUGUAGCCAUUGGUGCCAUCUAUCGACCACAGGUUAAAGUUUGGCGAUCCGUUGGAUACCGACCGAGUUAUAGGCAAAACUUGGUGCAAAAAUGAAGAAAAUUUUACAUUUUCUCAAACAGGGUAUGGAACUUGGUUCCUCGAAUAACUUCUGGCACAGACAUCUGAGAGCAUGGCCGUCCAAGAAGAAAAUGUAGCCAUUGGUGCCAUCUAUCGACCACAGGUUAAAGUUUGGCGAUCCGUUGGAUACCGACCGAGUUAUAGGCAAAACUUGGUGCAAAAAUGAAGAAAAUUUUACAUUUUCUCAAACAGGGUAUGGAACUUGGUUCCUCGAAUAACUUCUGGCACAGACAUCUGAGAGCAUGGCUGUCCAAGAAGAAAAUGUAGCCAUUGGUGCCAUCUAUCGACCACAGGUUAAAGUUUGGCGAUCCGUUGGAUACCGACCGAGUUAUAGGCAAAACUUGGUGCAAAAAUGAAGAAAAUUUUACAUUUUCUCAAACAGGGUAUGGAACUUGGUUCCUCGAAUAACUUGUGGCACAGACAUCUGAGGGCAUGGCCGUCCAAGAAGAAAAUGUAGCCAUUGGUGCCAUCUAUCGACCACAGGUUAAAGUUUGGCGAUCCGUUGGAUACCGACCGAGUUAUAGGCAAAACUUGGUGCAAAAAUGAAGAAAAUUUUACAUUUUCUCAAACAGGAUAUGGAACUUGGUUCCUCGAAUAACUUGUGGCACAGACAUCUGAGGGCAUGGCCGUCCAAGAAGAAAAUGUAGCCAUUGGUGCCAUCUAUCGACCACAGGUUAAAGUUUGGCGAUCCGUUGGAUACCGACCGAGUUAUAGGCAAAACUUGGUGCAAAAAUGAAGAAAAUUUUACAUUUUCUCAAACAGGGUAUGGAACUUGGUUCCUCGAAUAACUUGUGGCACAGACAUCUGAGGGCAUGGCCGUCCAAGAAGAAAAUGUAGCCAUUGGUGCCAUCUAUCGACCACAGGUUAAAGUUUGGCGAUCCGUUGGAUACCGACCGAGUUAUAGGCAAAACUUGGUGCAAAAAUGAAGAAAAUUUUACAUUUUCUCAAACAGGGUAUGGAACUUGGUUCCUCGAAUAACUUUUGGCACAGACAUCUGAGGGCAUGGCUGUCCAAGAAGAAAAUGUAGCCAUUGGUGCCAUCUAUCAACCACAGGUUAAAGUUUGGCGAUCCGUUGGAUACCGACCGAGUUAUAGGCGAAACUUGGUGCAAAAAUGAAGAAAAUUUUAUAUUUUCUCAAACAGGGUAUGGAACUUGGUUCCUCGAAUAACUUGUGGCACAGACAUCUGAGGGCAUGGCCGUCCAAGAAGAAAAUGUAGCCAUUGGUGCCAUCUAUCGACCACAGGUUAAAGAUUGGCGAUCCGUUGGAUACCGACCGAGUUAUAGGCGAAACUUGGUGCAAAAAUGAAGAAAAUUUUACAUUUUCUCAAACAGGGUAUGGAACUUGGUUCCUCGAAUAACUUGUGGCACAGACAUCUGAGGGCAUGGCCGUCCAAGAAGAAAAUGUAGCCAUUGGUGCCAUCUAUCGACCACAGGUUAAAGAUUGGCGAUCCGUUGGAUACCGACCGAUUUAUAGGCAAAACUUGGUGCAAAAAUGAAGAAAAUUUUACAUUUUCUCAAACAGGGUAUGGAACUUGGUUCCUCGAAUAACUUGCGGCACAGACAUCUGAGGGCAUGGCCGUCCAAGAAGAAAAUGUAGCCAUUGGUGCCAUUGGAGUUAUAGGCAAAAUUUGAUGCAAAAAUGAGCCUUAGGAAAUUGACAAAUUUAUAGAAUUUUUUGGGAAAUGUUCACGAGAUGAGAUUUUUUUCGAAUUAACAGCCAUUCUUCUGUUUUAAAAAUAGUAUUUACAUUCAUAAUAAUUAUAUAGAACUCGUACGUACUUUAAAAAAUAGAAAGCACUCGAUUUUUUAUAAACUUUACAAUAUUCAAUGACACUCAACCGAUCUAAUUUUUGAAUUUGUAUUUGUUUAAGCAAACUACUUACCUUGCUAUUACAAAAAAUUGACAUGACGUCAAAUCGCGUUUCGAAUAGCGAUUUUUCACUGAAAAUACACGUAUAGCGACUCUUCACAAUUUUUUUUAUAUGGAGUUUCGCAAAAAA